CAGUCGAGCGGACAGAUGGGAGCUUGCUCCCUGAUGUUAGCGGCGGACGGGUGAGUAACACGUGGGUAACCUGCCUGUAAGACUGGGAUAACUCCGGGAAACCGGGGCUAAUACCGGAUGGUUGUUUGAACCGCAUGGUUCAAACAUAAAAGGUGGCUUCGGCUACCACUUACAGAUGGACCCGCGGCGCAUUAGCUAGUUGGUGAGGUAACGGCUCACCAAGGCAACGAUGCGUAGCCGACCUGAGAGGGUGAUCGGCCACACUGGGACUGAGACACGGCCCAGACUCCUACGGGAGGCAGCAGUAGGGAAUCUUCCGCAAUGGACGAAAGUCUGACGGAGCAACGCCGCGUGAGUGAUGAAGGUUUUCGGAUCGUAAAGCUCUGUUGUUAGGGAAGAACAAGUACCGUUCGAAUAGGGCGGUACCUUGACGGUACCUAACCAGAAAGCCACGGCUAACUACGUGCCAGCAGCCGCGGA
rnacentral:rRNA from 1 species